rnacentral:rRNA from 1 species
AGAAUUUGAUCUUGGUUCAGACUGAACGCUGGCGGCGUGGAUGAGACAUGCAAGUCGAACGAAAGAGGGAGCAAUCCUUCUUUAGUGGCGAAAGGGUUAGUAAUACUUAAGCGAUCUACCUUCUACCUUGGAAUAACGGCUGGAAACGGCCGCUAAUACCAGAUGAGGUGAAUUCAUGGCAUCAUGAAGGCAUCAAUGGAGGGGAUCCCGAGAGGGACCUUGCGGUAGGAGAGGAGCUUAAGAGGUAUCAGCUAGUUGGUGAGGUAACAGCUUACCAAGGCUAAGACGCCUAGGCGGAUUGAGAGAUCGAUCGCCAACACUGGGACUGAGACACUGCCCAGACUCCUACGGGAGGCAGCAGUCGAGAAUAUUUCGCAAUGGGCGAAAGCCUGACGAAGCGACGCCGCGUGAACGAUGAAGGCCUUCGGGUUGUAACGUUCUGUUGACCUAGAACAAGGAUAGACAUCGAAUAGAUGAGCUAUCUUGAGGGUAUAGGUAGAGGAAGCACCGGCUAAUUCCGUGCCAGCAGCUGCGGUAAUACGGAAGGUGCAAGCGUUAGUCGGAAUUACUGGGCGUAAAGGGUGCGUAGGCGGGACUAUAAGUCGGGCGUGAAAUAUUAGAGCUUAACUCUAACACGGCGUUCGAUACUGUAGUUCUAGAGGAAUGGCGGAGAGAAUGGAAUUCCAUAUGUAGCGGUGAAAUGCGUAGAUAUAUGGAAGAACACCUGUGGCGAAAGCGGUUCUCUAGCCUCCUCCUGACGCUGAGGCACGAAAGCAAGGGGAGCAAACAGGAUUAGAUACCCUGGUAGUCCUUGCCUUAAACGGUGUAUACUUGACGUAGUUGGGCUCAACCCUGACUGUGUCGUAGCUAACGCGAUAAGUAUACCGCCUGGGGAGUACGCUCGCAAGGGUGAAACUCAAAAGAAUUGACGGGGACCCGCACAAGCAGUGGAGUAUGUGGUUUAAUUCGAUCCACUCGAAGAACCUUACCUGGGUUUGACAUGCAGUUGACAGCGGCAGAGAUGUCGUCUUCCCGCAAGGGACAACUGCACAGGUGCUGCAUGGCUGUCGUCAGCUCGUGCCGUGAGGUGUUGGGUUAAGUCCCGCAACGAGCGCAACCCUUGUCAUUAGUUGCCAGCACGUAAUGGUGGGCACUCUAAUGAGACUGCCUAGGUUAACUAGGAGGAAGGUGAGGAUGACGUCAAGUCCGCAUGGCCCUUAUGCCCAGGGCUACACACGUACUACAAUGGCCAGUACAGAAGGCAAGCAAUACCGCGAGGUGGAGCAAAUCCCUAAAAUUGGCCCCAGUUCAGAUUGCAGUCUGCAAUUCGACUGCAUGAAGAUGGAAUUGCUAGUAAUGGCGAGUCAGCUAUAUCGCCGUGAAUAC